rfam:Drosophila simulans chromosome X, whole genome shotgun sequence.
AAAUUUUUAUUCUCUUUGAAAUUUGUCUUGGUGGGACCCUUUGUCUAGGCAUUGAGAGUUCCCGU